rnacentral:rRNA from 1 species
GAUGAACGCUGGCGGCGUGCCUAAUACAUGCAAGUCGAGCGAACAGACGAGGAGCUUGCUCCUCUGACGUUAGCGGCGGACGGGUGAGUAACACGUGGAUAACCUACCUAUAAGACUGGGAUAACUUCGGGAAACCGGAGCUAAUACCGGAUAAUAUAUUGAACCGCAUGGUUCAAUAGUGAAAGACGGUUUUGCUGUCACUAUAGAUGGAUCCGCGCCGCAUUAGCUAGUUGGUAAGGUAACGGCUUACCAAGGCAACGAUGCGUAGCCGACCUGAGAGGGUGAUCGGCCACACUGGAACUGAGACACGGUCCAGACUCCUACGGGAGGCAGCAGUAGGGAAUCUUCUGCAAUGGGCGAAAGCCUGACGGAGCAACGCCGCGUGAGUGAUGAAGGUCUUCGGAUCGUAAAACUCUGUUAUUAGGGAAGAACAAAUGUGUAAGUAACUAUGCACGUCUUGACGGUACCUAAUCAGAAAGCCACGGCUAACUACGUG